rnacentral:rRNA from 1 species
CUGCUGCCUCCCGUAGGAGUCUGGGCCGUGUCUCAGUCCCAGUGUGGCCGUCCACCCUCUCAGGCCGGCUGCUGAUCGUCGCUUUGGUGGGCCGUUACCCCGCCAACUGGCUAAUCAGACGCGGGCCCAUCCUGUACCACCGGAGUUUUCAAAGGAUUACCAUGCGGUAUUCCCUAUUAUGCGGUAUUAGCACCUAUUUCUAAGUGUUAUCCCCCGGGUACAGGGCAGGUUGCCCACGCGUUACUCACCCGUCCGCCACUAAGACAG